rfam:Staphylococcus simiae CCM 7213 contig00463, whole genome shotgun sequence.
AAUUACAAUGUUAUUAGAGCUACUAAGCUCAUUGUUGAGAUAAAAGGUUUCACACUUUAGCGAGGAAUGGAAACUUUCUAUCGGGGCAUUGUCAGCAG